rnacentral:rRNA from 71 species
CACACCCGUUCCCAUACCGAACACGGAAGUUAAGCUCUCUAGCGCCGAUGGUAGUUGGGACCUUGUCCCUGUGAGAGUAGGACGUCGCCAAGCA